rnacentral:sRNA from 1 species
CAGCCUUGGAGAGACUGAAGUUUUCUGUUUACCUACAGAACUGGUAAAGCACAGGCAGCAGCAAUGCACUCUUCUCCAUGCUGCCCUGCCAGUACCCUGCCAGUACCUCAACCCUGAUCUGGUGGCACUAUCUCUAGGGAUCAGAGGGGAGUUCGGUUUCUAUGCACAGCAGACAAUUGAGCCU